AGAGCGAACGCUGGCGGCGUGCUUAACACAUGCAAGUCGAACGAGGUCUGUAGCAAUACAGAUACUCGUGGCGAACGGGUGCGUAACACGUGGAUAACCUUCCUUCAGGUGGGGAAUAACCCAGUGAAAAUUGGGCUAAUACCGCAUAACAUGACGAUGCCACAUGGUGUUGUCUUCAAAGGCGCAAGUCGCCAGAAGAGGGAUCCGCGGCCGAUUAGCUAGUUGGCGAGGUAAUGGCUCACCAAGGCAAUGAUCGGUAGCCGGACUGAGAGGUUGGCCGGGCCACACUGGAACUGAAACACGGUCCAGACUCCUACGGGAGGCAGCAGUGGGGAAUUUUGCGCAAUGGGGGAAACCCUGACGCAGCAACGCCGCGUGGAGGAUGAAGUCCCUUGGGACGUAAACUCCUUUCGAUCGGGACGAUAUGACGGUACCGAGAGAAGAAGCCCCGGCUAACUUCGUGCCGGCAGCCGC
rnacentral:rRNA from 1 species